AUAGUUUUAUUGUAAAUACAUUAAAAAUAAAUUACUCGUAAUUUUAAGGCGAGUAGCUCCCCCCAUCUAUUUCCUGUUCCGGUUCGCGAAGCGCUCGUAGAUUUUCAGCUGCGUAUGAGAAACCAUCACGUUGCAACAACGGUGAGAAAGAAAAAAGUUUACCAUCGGAUGGAAAAGUGCCCGAAAACUUUGUGCUUGAGCUCGGAUAAAGUCCUCCAACCCUUCAGUGCUGCCGAGUGAUCGCCGAUUUCGAAAGUGGCGAAAAGUGAGUUUAAUCAGCUUCAUAGCUGUAAAGUUGUUAGCCCGCGUGCUACUGUUAGCUUUAGCAUCACGUUGCUAACACGUAGCAGCUACGUCGCCGGGAAGCGCGGUGUUUGAGUCAGCUCUUACUUCGUCUGAAAGAGUCUGGCGAUUAGCUUGGGUGCAGCUGUGCUGAGUGUCUGAGCUCAAGUGAUUUGGAGAUUGGUCAGGUUUUUUUUCCCCCUCCUUUUGUGUACCCCCCUCGACCUCAUUGGUAUAUUCCGGAGCGGAUAUUCUGAUAGUCAUGAUGGCGAGCCUCCCACCUGGAUCAGAUGGAAAGGACUACACCUCUUCUGUGAUCACUGGAUUUUGCUUUGUGUGACCUACAGUGCGGUAGGCCAGAACUAAGAACACUGUCACUCAUCUGUGAGCACCAGCCCUAGCAGCUAUUUAUUUUAUUGUGAAAGUUUUUGACCGACUUAGACUGACUUGGACUAGUUUUUUCUUUGACCUAUUUUAUUUAAUUUGCUACUCUUGGGUUGGUGUGGGACAGAAAGGAAACCCUCCUUUAAGACAUCUGAUAGUGAACUGAACUGCGAAUCCUACUCAUCAGCCUGAGUUGUUUGUGAACACUGAGAACAGGCAGUGAAAGAGAUUUUUUUGUGAACAGUUGGCCAAAGAACAAACAAAGAACAAAAACCCGAGUCAUUAAGUGUCCACAUAUAUUGUAUUGUCUUAAUUAUUUGUGUUACUGUCUUUUAUUGUCUUUUAUAUAUAAAACCGGUAUAUGUUCAAGCAUCAUAUUGGUACGGUGUGUUGUUUAGAUAAUUCCCUGCUGCUUCCCGAGAGUCGAACCGAGAAUUGAAAUUACUCCUUAAUCUUUGUUGUGAGCUCCAUUGUCUCACAAGUGCUACAUGUGUAUCAACUUGUUUGCAUCAGCUUCAUUUUCAAACAAAUUUUUAUCAGAGCAAAACAAAUUAUUUGAGGAUGCUAGUAGUCCUUUGAUUAGAUUUGUCCUCGUGCUUCAUUUACACCCACAAACACACACAUCUCCUCCAACCUGGUCUGUUGUCGACCUUAUCGAAUCUUACAAUGACACAUAACUCAGUAGCACACCUGCGAUCCGUGACAGCUGAGCCUCUGGCCUGGUGCAGCGCUGUCACUCAGCUAGCUAACUGCCAUUAAACAGCAUGACCCUGCCGCCCCAUUAGGCUCGAGUCAGAUGGGAGUGUCAAGCCUUUCCCGCAUGCACCUCACGGUUUGGUCCUUCUGUGUGGAUACGGUCAUGGUCACAGUGAGCAGGAAACCCUGAGAGGCCUGAAAUUUUCAGUAACAUUUCAGAGGCUAUGACACCUUUCUUUUAAGACAU